UAUUUUGUCUAGAGUAGAUCCUCAUCUAGUUAUGGUAGACUCACACCUGACGACUUAGACUCAUUAUCAUAGGCCCGACUACAUCACAUUAGUGGAUGAAUAAGAAAAAAAAGAAAAAAACAAACA
rnacentral:pre_miRNA from 1 species